GAACCCGUGGCUCAAUGGUAGAGCGUUCGACUAAAAUUAUAAAGGUCGUGGGUUCGAAUCCCAGGUUUG
rnacentral:tRNA from 1 species